GGUUAAUUGGGUUCGGAAGGGGGCGGGGCACGGCAGCCUACCGCAGGGGCCAAUCGAAGGCCUAGAAAGCCCCAUAUGCAAAUGUGAGGGCCAGGAGGACCCCAAGUUAGGAGGAGGGCGGGUGGUGGUUAGGGCUCGUCUGGCGGCCAGUGGGAGCACGUCUCCUUAAUCCUUCGAGGAGGGGCCCGCGAGUGUGGUUGGAGCGGUACAGCGCAGCGGGGCGAGACCGGGGAGUGGGAAACGCGGGGGGGGGCCAGUAUUUCCCCAGGGUCUCCUCCCUGGCUGGGGAGAUGCUCCAGUGCCUGCCUUUGGAAGGCGAGGAAGGGACGGACUCAGAAGAGAGGGAGGACAGUACCAUAGAAGAUCCGAAAGAAAUCGUCACCCUCGCUUUUGUCAGACAGAACACUGGGAUGCAAAAGGGGCUUCAGAAUGCCCAGCAGGAAGGCAAGAAGAAGAGGAAGAAAAAGAGGUUAGGAUUGAAAGAUGGGGAAUGGGGAUCCAUGUUGGCGAGAGCAGGAGGGACCUGGAGGGAAGGAGGCCUAAGCUGCUAAUAGGAGGGUCAAGGAGAAACCGUGCGCUGACUGUCAAAAUCACACCUCGUUCGGUUCGUAUAAAAAGAACCACUUUUGAUGAUCUGUUUUGUAGAAUCAAAUACUGAUAUGUAUAAUCUAAAACUACACCUUGUCCUCAUCUUCAUUUUGCUUGUGUUUAUAAUGCCUCCUUUUUUUUAAUUGUGUGGGGAGAGACGAUGUCCUUGUUUUAGGAAGUGCUUAUUAUCGCGGGAAUUCAAUAUACUGUAAAUAUAACAGGACUAUGCGACUUCUUAGGAUCUGACUGCAGCUUCUACAUUCCAGUUCUUAUUUAAUAUUUUUCUAUACCUUGCUCCGUUUUUGGGGGAAAUGAAUCACUCCUCAGACUGAUGGAUGUCUGAAAGCUUGUCUACUUUCUAACUCACAGAUUCCCUUAAUGGGGUGGCAAGAGGAGGGAGACCAUUAAGUAUUUUCCCCAAAAAGACGUUCACUUCCUGUUUUUGAGGGGCCACUGGAGUAAAAGGAUUGAGGAGGCGAUGACGUUAACGUGAAGCUGCAAGCAAAAUUAGCUGCAACAGCAAGACGGAAUUUCUACCUCACGGGCAGAGUAAUAGUACUCUGAGCCCACGUUUUCUGCCGCUUGGCAACCCUUUGAAUCUGUGUCCUCAGUGUCAGGGACCGUCAGACCAGGCGGAAGUGAGGCUGGUUAGGUUCCAU
rnacentral:lncRNA from 1 species